rnacentral:rRNA from 1 species
GACGAACGCUGGCGGCGUGCUUAACACAUGCAAGUCGAACGGAAACGCCCUGCUUUUGUGGGGUGCUCGAGUGGCGAACGGGUGAGUAACACGUGAGUAACCUGCCCUUGACUUUGGGAUAACUUCAGGAAACUGGGGCUAAUACCGGAUAGGAGCUCCUGCUGCAUGGUGGGGGUUGGAAAGUUUCGGCGGUUGGGGAUGGACUCGCGGCUUAUCAGCUUGUUGGUGGGGUAGUGGCUUACCAAGGGUUUGACGGAUAGCCGGCCUGGGAGGGUGACCGGCCACAUUGGGACUGAGAUACGGCCCAGACUCCUACGGGAGGCAGCAGUGGGGAAUAUUGCACAGUGGGCGGAAGCCUGAUGCAGCAACGCCGCGUGCGGGAUGACGGCCUUCGGGUUGUAAACCGCUUUCGCCUGUGACGAAGCGUGAGUGACGGUAAUGGGUAAAGAAGCACCGGCUAACUACGUG